UUUAAUUGUAAAAAUAUUCAUUUAAGUAGUAUUAGUUAUGACCUUGAAAUUUAAAAAUUUUGGCGGUAUUUUAGUCUAUUCAGAGGAACCUGUCCUAUAAUUGAUAUUCCACGAUAAAUUAAACUUAACUUAUUAAUUUGUAUAUCGUCGUCGUUAAGUAUUUUAUAAGAAUUUAAUAUUUAAGAUUUUAUAUAAAAAAUUAUGUCAGAUCAAGGUGCAGUUUAUAGUUAAGAAGAGAUGGGUUACAAUAAAUUUAUUUAUAUGGUUUUAUAUAUGAAAAUUUAUAAAUAAAGUGGAUUUGAUAGUAAUAAUAUUAAAAUUAAUUUUAUGGUUAAAGCUCUAAAAUGUGU
rnacentral:rRNA from 1 species